UUACAGUAACAUAUAACCUUUUUCGAUUUAUUCAUAAAAAAAGUGAAUUUAAAACAAAACUGAUUUUUGAAUUAUGUCCACGUUUGCUAUAGUCACAGCUUUGAUCUUUUAACCUAAAUUGUUUAACCCCUUAAGGACCAAACUUCUGGAAUAAAAGGGAAUCAUGACAUGUCACACAUGUCAUGUGUCCUUAAAGGAACACUAUAGACAUCCAGACAACUUCAGCUUAAUGAAGUGGUGC